UUUUUUUUCCAAGAAACACCACGAGCAACACCCAAUUCAAACGGACCUUUAAUCAUAUUUUCUAUUAAGUAGAUGUUUGCUUUCUUUAUUCCUUUAUCUUGAUUGGCUGUUAAGAACACUGCUGCAUCAUAUACUUGCAUCAAUUGUGGACGAAGGACUUCAGUUCCAUAUCGUGCACAAGGCUUUCUCCUUUUUUUCUGUGUAAAAAAAAGCAUUAAUGUAAAGUUUAAAUUGUAGUCACCUUAGCUAGCAAGUAGGUCUGCAGGGUAGAAUUGUACGUGUUCAAAUUCCAUUGUCUGUACACUUGUCCCGUGUUGAUGUGGUGAACUAAUUUAGAUUCCUAAAUUAAGAUAUUAGCAAGGUCAUAUGUUUUGCUCAUAAGAGUUUAGAUGGACUUAGCAGCAUCAAUUAAGUGAAUUUACAGAAAUCAUAGUCUUAUAGAGAGUGGAAAUUUUGGGUGGAAUGUAGUGAGGAUGUAAAUCUUUGUCUUGCUUUCCUUUUCCCCAAGUCCAGUCUCCUAUUUCCUAUGAUCAAAACACUUAAAUUAUAUGAAGUUUCUCCUCAAUAAUCCUUUCCUUUGUUUCUCAAUAUAUUUCUUUGACUUGUAUCAUCCUUUAUACUUCCUUUUUGAACUAAUAUAUAGGUCUAGUUAUCUCUUAUAGCGAUACCAGUCCUCUGAUACCAGAUUUUGGAUCCAGUGAGUACAAGUUUUUCGAUGGGACUUAGCUAACUAUAUUUUGGAUGUCUUUGUUCUUUGUUCUAUUCUAAUUGCAUGCUGCUAUUUAUCGGCAUUGACUAAUGCAGAAAUGCAGAUUUAUUUAUAGAGAGUUGCCAUCCCAAGUAGCUCAAUCGUGGAGGAUGGAGAUGGGUGGAAUACUUAAAGGCAAUCCAGUUCCAGUUUAAUAGAUGCAAUGCUUUUAGGCCUACUUGAGCUAUGCGAGAUGUAAAUGGAUAAGAUAAGCUCAUACUUCUUUGAUGCACAAUUCUGGUAUGAUGCAACUCAACUGGACAGCAGGAAAGACCUGGAGUUUGCAGCAUUACAAUUUACCCAUUUCGGGCAAUUCAAUGGAAGAACCAAAGAGAUAUGUUUGCAGUGGACAAGUUGUUGAAUCUGCCAAGUCUUCUGCAUCUGUCUCAUCAUGCUGCUUGUUGCUAAAGAAGGGUUGCUGCAAGCUGACUGAUGUUGGAAAGGAGCUGAAUGGAGGAAAUGGAAGUAAAAAGGGGAAUAAGUCCUUGAAAAAGGAAGAAUUGAUUUAUCUUGUAACCAUGAUUGCUUGUGCCUGAAAAUCUAGGUUUUCCUAGAAGAGUCUUGGUAGAUAAUACUGUAUAGAGGAGAACAUCGAGAAAAGUACAAAACCUGUUGGCCUUCCUUGUCAAAAUUGUACUAUGUGGCCAAGUUGAGUUGCUGCAGACCCAUGUGUUGGUGAUGCUAAACUGGGAUGAAUUGGAUUAGUUUUAUUCCAAGACUUCUUCCUUCCCUGCACUACAUCUUGGUUGAUGAACGAAGAGUCUCAUGCUGUAGCUUUUCUGCUGAUUAUGGUUUUGAUUCAUAACUAAAAGAAUUCAUGGUUUAAGACAAAAAGUGCUGAAGCAGCUGAGCAAAAGUUGUUGCAAUGACAGGAAUGUAGCUUUUGACCAGAAGAUGAUGAAGAUGCCUAAAACUGAUAGGAUUCGAGUGAUCAGCUAUAGGGAAACUGGAAAGUGUUGCUGAACUCAGCAUGGAUAUCUUGAUGCAAUGUGCUUGAAGCUUUGUGUACUGCAACAGCCAAAAAGAAUGUAGAGAGAAGAUCCAUAAGAGAGUAACACUAAAGAUCCAUAAGAGUAGAUCAAGUGGUCAUUAGCCCCUGGAAAAGAAAAACGCGAGCGGCCCGGGUUUUGAUGGUCAUGAUUCCCUUAAGAAUGUAGGGGUUCUGGUUUUUGUGGAAAACCACGAAUGUUGUGCUCUAGAUGCAACGGCAUAAACCAUGCCAUCCAAAGAUCCUCUUACAUGUUGGAUGAUUGUUGGUCACGUAAAGAACAAGUUUGCAAAAUUCAUCUGUAGAUAUGGAGUAUAUGCAGUUUGCAGAUGCAAAAUAUUUGAAAUCAAGGGACAAUUCAUUGAGAAAACUCUUCAUGUACUUCGGUUGCCGACCUGUCGAGGGAGGACGGAUGCAUUAUUAUCUUAAACAGCUAUCCUUGGAGUUUCUGGUUGCAAUUUGCAAGCACGAUAAUCUCACGGAGUGACUCCUAUCAAAUCAUUUUUUAAACAGGUUUGGUAUUUUAUGCUUAACCAAAUGUAUUGGAGUUGAAUUAUUAAGCACAAAGUUCAACGUUUAUGGAACUAGGGAUAAUAUUCUUCUGUCAUAUCUUGUACUAAUGCGUUGGUGUUUAAUGCCAAAAGGCUUGACAACUGACAUUAAUGAUGUGGAGGAGGGAACAGAACAUUUCAUGACUAGUGGCUGCAGAUUGAGAAAGAUGCCUUUCUCAUCUUUUUCAGUACACAUCGUCUGCGUUCUCCUCCUCCUUGACAGAAACCAUUGUUGCUUCCACUUAAUUAGAAUGAGCAAUAGUGGCAUGAUUAGGGAAAAA